rnacentral:misc_RNA from 1 species
GAUGAAGAACGUAGCAAAAUGCGAUACUUGGUGUGAAUUGCAGAAUCCCGUGAACCAUCGAGUUUUUGAACGCAAGUUGCGCCCGAAGCCUUUUGGCCGAGGGCACGUCUGCCUGGGCGUCACGCAUCGCGUCGCCCCCCACAAAUUCUACGUCAGGGGAGCUUGUGUUUCGGGGGCGGAUACUGGUCUCCCGUGCUCAUGGCGCGGUUGGCCGAAAUAGGAGUCCCUUCGAUGGACGCACGAACUAGUGGUGGUCGUAAAAACCCUCGUCUUUUGUUUCGUGCCGUUAGUCGCGAGGGAAGCUCUUCAAAAACCCCAACGCGUCGUCUCUUGACGGCGCUUCGACCGCGACCCCAGGUCAGGCGGGACUACCCGCUGAGUUUAAGCAUAUCAAUAAGCGGAGGA